rnacentral:tRNA from 1 species
CGCAGGAUAGAGCAGUUUGGUAGCUCGCAAGGCUCAUAACCUUGAGGUCAUGGGUUCAAAUACCGUUCCCUCAA